UACGUAGGGGGCAAGCGUUGUCCGGAAUCAUUGGGCGUAAAGCGCGCGUAGGCGGCCAGAUAAGUCCGGUGUGAAAGUCACAGGCUCAACCUGUGAAUGCCGCUGGAAACUGUCUGGCUUGAGUCCGGAAGGGGCGAGUGGAAUUCCUGGUGUAGCGGUGAAAUGCGCAGAUAUCAGGAGGAACACCAAUGGCGAAGGCAGCACUCUGGGACGUGACUGACGCUGAGACGCGAAAGCGUGGGGAGCAAACAGG
rnacentral:rRNA from 1 species